rnacentral:tRNA from 1 species
UGGUAUGGCUCAGUUGGUAGAGCAGCGCAUUCGUAAUGCGCAGGUCGCCGGUUCGAGUCCGGCUACC